GACGAACGCUGGCGGCGCGCCUAACACAUGCAAGUCGAACGAGCGAGAGAGAGUUUGCUUUCUCGAGCGAGUGGCGAACGGGUGAGUAACGCGUGAGGAACCUGCCUCAAAGAGGGGGAUAACAGCCGGAAACGGCUGCUAAUACCGCAUAAUGCAUUGGAUUCGCAUGUUUCUGAUGCCAAAGAUUUUAUCGCUGAAAGAUGAGCUCGCGUCUGAUUAGCUAGUUGGCGGGGUAACGGCCCACCAAGGCGACGAUCAGUAGCCGGACUGAGAGGUUGAACGGCCACAUUGGGACUGAGACACGGCCCAG
rnacentral:rRNA from 1 species